rnacentral:rRNA from 1 species
AUUGAACGCUGGCGGCAUGCCUUACACAUGCAAGUCGAACGGCAGCACGGGUGCUUGCACCUGGUGGCGAGUGGCGAACGGGUGAGUAAUACAUCGGAACGUACCUUAUCGUGGGGGAUAACGCAGCGAAAGCUGUGCUAAUGCCGCAUACGCCCUGAGGGGGAAAGCGGGGGAUCGAAAGACCUCGCGCGAUUAGAGCGGCCGAUGCCUGAUUAGCUUGUUGGUGGGGUAAAAGCCCACCAAGGCGACGAUCAGUAGCUGGUCGGAGAGGACGAUCAGCCACACUGGGACUGAGACACGGCCCAGACUCCUACGGGAGGCAGCAGUGGGGAAUUUUGGACAAUGGGGGCAACCCUGAUCCAGCAAUGCCGCGUGAGUGAAGAAGGCCUUCGGGUUGUAAAGCUCUUUUGUCAGGGAAGAAACACCGGCUCUAACACAGUCCGGGAAUGACGGUACCUGAAGAAUAAGCACCGGCUAACUACGCGCCAGCCGCCGCAGUAA